rnacentral:rRNA from 1 species
GUGGGGAAUAUUGGACAAUGGGCGCAAGCCUGAUCCAGCCAUGCCGCGUGAGUGAUGAAGGCCCUAGGGUUGUAAAGCUCUUUCACCGGUGAAGAUAAUGACGGUAACCGGAGAAGAAGCCCCGGCUAACUUCGUGCCAGCAGCCGCGGUAAUACGAAGGGGGCUAGCGUUGUUCGGAAUUACUGGGCGUAAAGCGCACGUAGGCGGACAUUUAAGUCAGGGGUGAAAUCCCGGGGCUCAACCCCGGAACUGCCUUUGAUACUGGGUGUCUGGAGUAUGGAAGAGGUAAGUGGAAUUCAGAGUGUAGAGGUGAAAUUCGUAGAUAUUCGGAGGAACACCAGUGGCGAAGGCGGCUUACUGGUCCAUUACUGACGCUGAGGUGCGAAAGCGUGGGGAGCAAACAGGAUUAGAAACCCCGGUAGUCC